rnacentral:rRNA from 1 species
AGUGAACGCUGGCGGUAGGCCUAACACAUGCAAGUCGAACGGCAGCACAGUAAGAGCUUGCUCUUACGGGUGGCGAGUGGCGGACGGGUGAGGAAUACAUCGGAAUCUACUUUUUCGUGGGGGAUAACGUAGGGAAACAUACGCUAAUACCGCAUACGACCUACGGGUGAAAGCAGGGGAUCUUCGGAACUUGCGCGAUUGAAUGAGACGAUGUCGGAUUAGCUAGUUGGCGGGGUAAAGGCCCACCAAGGCGACGAUCCGUAGCUGGUCUGAGAGGAUGAUCAGCCACACUGGAACUGAGACACGGUCCAGACUCCUACGGGAGGCAGCAGUGGGGAAUAUUGGACAAUGGGCGCAAGCCUGAUCCAGCCAUACCGCGUGCGUGAGGAAGGCCUUCGGGUUGUAAAGCCCUUUUGUUGGGAAAGAAAAGCAGCAGGUUAAUACCCCGCUGUUCUGACGGUACCCAAAGAAUAAGCACCGGCUAACUUCGUG